UGCAUAUCAAUAAGCGGAGGAAAAUAAACUAACAAGGAGUCCCCUAGUAGCGGCGAGCGAAGCGGGAAGAGCUCAAAUUUAUAAUCUGGCACCUUCGGUGUCCGAGUUGUAAUCUCUAGAAGUGUUUUCCGCGUUGGACCGCACACAAGUCUGUUGGAAUACAGCGGCAUAGUGGUGAAACCCCCGUAUAUGGUGCGGACGCCCAGCGCUUUGUGAUACACUUUCAAUGAGUCGAGUUGUUUGGGAAUGCAGCUCAAAUUGGGUGGUAAAUUCCAUCUAAAGCUAAAUAUUGGCGAGAGACCGAUAGCGAACAAGUACCGUGAGGGAAAGAUGAAAAGCACUUUGGAAAGAGAGUUAACAGUACGUGAAAUUGUUGGAAGGGAAACGCUUGAAGUCAGACUUGCUUGCCGGAGCUUGCUUCGGUUUGCAGGCCAGCAUCAGUUUUCCGGGGUGGAUAAUGACGGUUUGAAGGUAGCAGUCUCGGCUGUGUUAUAGCUUUCCGUUGGAUACAUCCUGGGGGACUGAGGAACGCAGCGUGCUUUUUGCGAAAGACUCG
rnacentral:rRNA from 1 species